rnacentral:lncRNA from 1 species
UUAAGGCUUUCAAUUUGGAUGUCAAAAUUUUUAAAAUUUAUAUUUCACUGCAUGACUGAAACCCAAUACUAAGUCUUAAUGAAUAGAUAAACCAUCUAAUAAUGAGAAAACAAGAAUGUUUAGCAUGUAAUACUGAAUAUAAUACAUAGAGCUGAAACUGCUGAUACACUUUCAAAACUUUAAUAUGUUAGACAAGAAUGAAUCAUGUAAUGAACUAUGCUGCUACUGGACUACUAC